UGUUAGAAGAAUAAACAACAUAAAUUUAUAAAUAAAUAAUAUAAAUAAAUAUUGUUUGUGAUGGUGACAAAUGGUGACAAAUUAUUAUUUUCUAAAUUUACAAGGAUGAAAGUGUAUUUCCAUUUGAUACACCGGAAUCACCAAAUGAUUAUCCAUCAGUUUGAAAACAUUUCUUGGUUUUAGUCGUGACUUUGUUGAAUAUGAUGAAACUUAUGAAAUAAUAAUAUUACCAAAUUUCACAAGUAUGAAAUAUACAUCAGUUGAUUUACCAGAACAGAUAAUAAAACAAUUACUGGAAUAUUACAAGCUGAAUCAGCAAUUAAAAUUGGUGAAAGAGAAGCAUUAGCUGGUCCAUGGGAUGGUGAAGCAAGAAUAAUAACAAAACAUGCAACAACAUUGCCACAAUUAAAUAAUGGUAAAAAAAUACCACCAAGUAGUUGGAAAUGUGAAAAAUGUGAUUUAACACAAAAUUUAGGGUUAAAUUUAACUGAUGGUAGUAUAUUAUGUGGACGUAAAUUUUUUAAUGGUACUGGUGGUAAUGAUUAAUGAUCAUGUAAAUAAACAUUAUCGUACAACUGGUUAUCCACUUGUUGUUAAAUUAGGUACAAUAACAAAAAAAGGGUAUCAAUAUUUCAAAUAUGGAAAAAACUGAAAAAUCAAUGACUGAACUUGAGCUUGAUUUAAAUAAAAAAUUUGGUGAAUGGGUUGUAUUACAAGAAG